rnacentral:lncRNA from 1 species
CACAAACACUUGUACAGCAAUCAGAGUGGGUGCAGGUAAUUGUAUCUGUGUGUCUCAAGUGACAGCAGAGCUUUGGAAAGACACUUUUUAAACCGCUUUAGCAACUCUCAUGCAGCUACUUGAAAAUGCUGCCUGGUAGGGACUGAGCAUUGCCCCUUUAUCACCACUUUUCAGCAGAAGCUGUGGAGAUCAGAAAGGGCUGGAUGAUGUCCUGAAGGCUGCCUGCAUGUGUGCUACAGCUGAUCCAGGAAUAAGGGGAUGAUUUUUUCCCUGCAGUGCCCCUGAAUCCUGGCUGCCUCUCAUAGGAGUCUCCAUCUCUUGCAGGAGAGUUGAAGGCAACUUUUAGAGCAAGGGCUUGUUGGCAGGACAAAGAAUGGCAACUGAGCGGAGAUGCCUGUUCCAGAUUGACACCCGGUGGAUGCUGCUGCUGUAAUCAGCACCGAGGAGCAUUUAUCACCUCCUCAGACCCUAAUGUGGGGAGCAGGACAUGGAAGAUUCUGCCUGUGGAUUUAAUACCAAAGACAGUGAAAUUCUCAGUGAGAGACAGAAGCUCCCUCACAGCACAGGCGGCUGCUACUCCUGAAGCUUCCCCACAUUCAUGUAAUAAAUAAAUAAUCACACCUUUUCUGCUGUCAAAGCUGAAAGCAUGCACAGCUGUGUGCCACA